GGGUUGUGAGGUUAAGCGACUAAGCGUACACGGUGGAUGCCCUGGCAGUCAGAGGCGAUGAAGGACGUGCUAAUCUGCGAUAAGCGUCGGUAAGGUGAUAUGAACCGUUAUAACCGGCGAUUUCCGAAUGGGGAAACCCAGUGUGUUUCGACACACUAUCAUUAACUGAAUCCAUAGGUUAAUGAGGCGAACCGGGGGAACUGAAACAUCUAAGUACCCCGAGGAAAAGAAAUCAACCGAGAUUCCCCCAGUAGCGGCGAGCGAACGGGGAGCAGCCCAGAGCCUGAAUCAGUGUGUGUGUUAGUGGAAGCGUCUGGAAAGGCGCGCGAUACAGGGUGACAGCCCCGUACACAAAAAUGCACAUGCUGUGAGCUCGAUGAGUAGGGCGGGACACGUGGUAUCCUGUCUGAAUAUGGGGGGACCAUCCUCCAAGGCUAAAUACUCCUGACUGACCGAUAGUGAACCAGUACCGUGAGGGAAAGGCGAAAAGAACCCCGGCGAGGGGAGUGAAAAAGAACCUGAAACCGUGUACGUACAAGCAGUGGGAGCACGCUUAGGCGUGUGACUGCGUACCUUUUGUAUAAUGGGUCAGCGACUUAUAUUCUGUAGCAAGGUUAACCGAAUAGGGGAGCCGAAGGGAAACCGAGUCUUAACUGGGCGUUAAGUUGCAGGGUAUAGACCCGAAACCCGGUGAUCUAGCCAUGGGCAGGUUGAAGGUUGGGUAACACUAACUGGAGGACCGAACCGACUAAUGUUGAAAAAUUAGCGGAUGACUUGUGGCUGGGGGUGAAAGGCCAAUCAAACCGGGAGAUAGCUGGUUCUCCCCGAAAGCUAUUUAGGUAGCGCCUCGUGAAUUCAUCUCCGGGGGUAGAGCACUGUUUCGGCAAGGGGGUCAUCCCGACUUACCAACCCGAUGCAAACUGCGAAUACCGGAGAAUGUUAUCACGGGAGACACACGGCGGGUGCUAACGUCCGUCGUGAAGAGGGAAACAACCCAGACCGCCAGCUAAGGUCCCAAAGUCAUGGUUAAGUGGGAAACGAUGUGGGAAGGCCCAGACAGCCAGGAUGUUGGCUUAGAAGCAGCCAUCAUUUAAAGAAAGCGUAAUAGCUCACUGGUCGAGUCGGCCUGCGCGGAAGAUGUAACGGGGCUAAACCAUGCACCGAAGCUGCGGCAGCGACGCUGAUGCGUUGUUGGGUAGGGGAGCGUUCUGUAAGCCUGUGAAGGUGUGCUGUGAGGCAUGCUGGAGGUAUCAGAAGUGCGAAUGCUGACAUAAGUAACGAUAAAGCGGGUGAAAAGCCCGCUCGCCGGAAGACCAAGGGUUCCUGUCCAACGUUAAUCGGGGCAGGGUGAGUCGACCCCUAAGGCGAGGCCGAAAGGCGUAGUCGAUGGGAAACAGGUUAAUAUUCCUGUACUUGGUGUUACUGCGAAGGGGGGACGGAGAAGGCUAUGUUGGCCGGGCGACGGUUGUCCCGGUUUAAGCGUGUAGGCUGGUUUUCCAGGCAAAUCCGGAAAAUCAAGGCUGAGGCGUGAUGACGAGGCACUACGGUGCUGAAGCAACAAAUGCCCUGCUUCCAGGAAAAGCCUCUAAGCAUCAGGUAACAUCAAAUCGUACCCCAAACCGACACAGGUGGUCAGGUAGAGAAUACCAAGGCGCUUGAGAGAACUCGGGUGAAGGAACUAGGCAAAAUGGUGCCGUAACUUCGGGAGAAGGCACGCUGAUAUGUAGGUGAAGUCCCUCGCGGAUGGAGCUGAAAUCAGUCGAAGAUACCAGCUGGCUGCAACUGUUUAUUAAAAACACAGCACUGUGCAAACACGAAAGUGGACGUAUACGGUGUGACGCCUGCCCGGUGCCGGAAGGUUAAUUGAUGGGGUUAGCCGCAAGGCGAAGCUCUUGAUCGAAGCCCCGGUAAACGGCGGCCGUAACUAUAACGGUCCUAAGGUAGCGAAAUUCCUUGUCGGGUAAGUUCCGACCUGCACGAAUGGCGUAAUGAUGGCCAGGCUGUCUCCACCCGAGACUCAGUGAAAUUGAACUCGCUGUGAAGAUGCAGUGUACCCGCGGCAAGACGGAAAGACCCCGUGAACCUUUACUAUAGCUUGACACUGAACAUUGAGCCUUGAUGUGUAGGAUAGGUGGGAGGCUUUGAAGUGUGGACGCCAGUCUGCAUGGAGCCGACCUUGAAAUACCACCCUUUAAUGUUUGAUGUUCUAACGUUGACCCGUAAUCCGGGUUGCGGACAGUGUCUGGUGGGUAGUUUGACUGGGGCGGUCUCCUCCUAAAGAGUAACGGAGGAGCACGAAGGUUGGCUAAUCCUGGUCGGACAUCAGGAGGUUAGUGCAAUGGCAUAAGCCAGCUUGACUGCGAGCGUGACGGCGCGAGCAGGUGCGAAAGCAGGUCAUAGUGAUCCGGUGGUUCUGAAUGGAAGGGCCAUCGCUCAACGGAUAAAAGGUACUCCGGGGAUAACAGGCUGAUACCGCCCAAGAGUUCAUAUCGACGGCGGUGUUUGGCACCUCGAUGUCGGCUCAUCACAUCCUGGGGCUGAAGUAGGUCCCAAGGGUAUGGCUGUUCGCCAUUUAAAGUGGUACGCGAGCUGGGUUUAGAACGUCGUGAGACAGUUCGGUCCCUAUCUGCCGUGGGCGCUGGAGAACUGAGGGGGGCUGCUCCUAGUACGAGAGGACCGGAGUGGACGCAUCACUGGUGUUCGGGUUGUCAUGCCAAUGGCACUGCCCGGUAGCUAAAUGCGGAAGAGAUAAGUGCUGAAAGCAUCUAAGCACGAAACUUGCCCCGAGAUGAGUUCUCCCUGACCCUUUAAGGGUCCUGAAGGAACGUUGAAGACGACGACGUUGAUAGGCCGGGUGUGUAAGCGCAGCGAUGCGUUGAGCUAACCGGUACUAAUGAACCGUGAGGCUUAACCUUACAACGCCGAAGCUGUU
rnacentral:rRNA from 1 species